rnacentral:rRNA from 1 species
GAUCAUGGCUCAGGACGAACGCUGGCGGCGCGCCUAACACAUGCACGUCGAACGAGCGAGAGAGAGCUUGCUUUCUCAAGCGAGUGGCGAACGGGUGAGUAACGCGUGAGGAACCUGCCUCAAAGAGGGGGACAACAGUUGGAAACGACUGCUAAUACCGCAUAAGCCCACGGCUCGGCAUCGGGUAGAGGGAAAAGGAGCAAUCCGCUUUGAGAUGGCCUCGCGUCCGAUUAG